GGCUGCUCUGAAGGUAGUGAGUUAUCUGAGUUGGUUGUUCAGUCACUUGCAGAUCAAAUUCCUUGUUCUACUCUUUACCCCUUUCUCACUGCUGCACUUGACUAUUCGAAA
rnacentral:Y_RNA from 1 species